rnacentral:rRNA from 1 species
GCAAGUCGAGGGGUAACAUUAGUUGCUUGCAACCAUAUGACGACCGUCGCACGGGUGCGCACCGCGUAUGGAACCUACCUUUUACAGGGGAAUAUCCCAGGGAAACUGGAUUAAUGCCCCGUAGUACCUUUAUAUAGCAUUAUAUUAAGGUUAAAGGCUUCGGCCGGUAUAAGAUGGACAUGCGUCCCAUUAGUUAGUUGGCGAGGUAACGGCUCACCAAGACGGCGAUGGGUAGGGGCCCUGAGAGGGGGAUC